rnacentral:rRNA from 1 species
AUUGAACGCUGGCGGCAGGCCUAACACAUGCAAGUCGAGCGGAGGAAGGGAGUUUGCUCCUGGAUUCAGCGGCGGACGGGUGAGUAAUGCCUAGGAAUCUGCCUGGUAGUGGGGGAUAACGUCCGGAAACGGGCGCUAAUACCGCAUACGUCCUGAGGGAGAAAGUGGGGGAUCUUCGGACCUCACGCUAUCAGAUGAGCCUAGGUCGGAUUAGCUAGUUGGUGGGGUAAAGGCCUACCAAGGCGACGAUCCGUAACUGGUCUGAGAGGAUGAGCAGUCACACUGGAACUGAGACACGGUCCAGACUCCUACGGGAGGCAGCAGUGGGGAAUAUUGGACAAUGGGCGAAAGCCUGAUCCAGCCAUGCCGCGUGUGUGAUGAAGGUCUUCGGAUUGUAAAGCCCUUUAAGUUGGGAGGAAGGGCAGUAAGUUAAUACCUUGCUGUUUCGACGUUACCAACAGAAUAAGCACCGGCUAACUUCGUG